UACGGAGGGGGCUAGCGUUGUUCGGAAUUCCUGGGCGUAAAGCGCGCGUAGGCGGACCUGCAAGUCGGGGGUGAAAGCCCGAGGCUCAACCUCGGAACUGCCUUCGAUACUGCGGGUCUCGAGUCCGGGAGAGGUGAGUGGAAUUCCUAGUGUAGAGGUGAAAUUCGUAGAUAUUAGGAAGAACACCCGUGGCGAAGGCGGUUCUCUGGGACGGUACUGACGCUGAGACGCGAAAGCGUGGGGAGCGAACAGG
rnacentral:rRNA from 1 species